UCGGGAAUUUUGGGCAAUGGGCGCAAGCCUGAUCCAGCCAUGCCGCGUGAGUGACGAAGGUCUUCGGAUUGUAAAGCUCUUUUAGCAGGGAAGAUAAUGACGGUACCUGCAGAAUAAGCCCCGGCUAACUUCGUGCCAGCAGCCGCGGUAAUACGAAGGGGGCUAGCGUUGUUCGGAAUUACUGGGCGUAAAGCGCACGUAGGCGGAUUGAUAAGUUAGAGGUGAAAUCCCGGGGCUCAACCUCGGAACUGCCUUUGAUACUGUUAGUCUCGAGUCCGAUAGAGGUGAGUGGAAUUCCUAGUGUAGAGGUGAAAUUCGUAGAUAUUAGGAAGAACACCAGUGGCGAAGGCGGCUCACUGGAUCGGUACUGACGCUGAGGUGCGAAAGCGUGGGGAGCAAACAGGAUUAGAUACCCCAGUAGUCCCUGAGCGGGCUGGCAAGGCGCAU
rnacentral:rRNA from 1 species